UACAGAGGUCUCAAGCGUUGUUCGGAUUCAUUGGGCGUAAAGGGUGCGUAGGCGGCGCGGUAAGUCGGGUGUGAAAUCUCGGAGCUUAACUCCGAAACUGCAUUCGAUACUGCCGUGCUUGAGGACUGGAGAGGAGACUGGAAUUUACGGUGUAGCGGUGAAAUGCGUAGAUAUCGUAAGGAAGACCAGUGGCGAAGGCGGGUCUCUGGGCCGUAACUGACGCUGAGGAGCGAAAGCGUGGGAGGC
rnacentral:rRNA from 1 species